GUGGGGAAUAUUGGACAAUGGGCGCAAGCCUGAUCCAGCCAUGCCGCGUGAGUGAUGAAGGCCUUAGGGUUGUAAAGCUCUUUCAGUGGGGACGAUAAUGACGGUACCCACAGAAGAAGCCCCGGCUAACUUCGUGCCAGCAGCCGCGGUAAUACGAAGGGGGCUAGCGUUGUUCGGAUUUACUGGGCGUAAAGCGCACGUAGGCGGAUCGUUAAGUCGGGGGUGAAAUCCUGGAGCUCAACUCCAGAACUGACUUCGAUACUGGCGAGCUUGAGUCCGGAAGAGGUGAGUGGAACUCCUAGUGUAGAGGUGGAAUUCGUAGAUAUUAGGAAGAACACCAGUGGCGAAGGCGGCUCACUGGUCCGGUACUGACGCUGAGGUGCGAAAGCGUGGGGAGCAAACAGGAUUAGAAACCCCAGUAGUCC
rnacentral:rRNA from 1 species